GCUCUACAAACAAGCAAAGGAAUUCAUCAAAAAUAGAAGAGGACCUCAAACGGACAAAAGGAUCAGUUAUCCUCUCCACUUUACAACUGAAGAAACUGAAGCACAAAGAAUACUUAACUUGCUCAAGAUUGCAGAGCUUCGGAAGAUAUGAAAUGAGUUUGAGCUUUGCACAAAAUGGCAUCCUUAAUUGUACAAGGAACACAAAAGGAGUAGGAGGUCCACGAAAAAUCAUCUGUAGAUGUCCUUUAGCUAAAAAUACCAGCCAAGCUGAAUGAAACAGCAAACAGUCCAGUGAUGGUCAGCUAAGGUGCUUCUCUGAUUUAAUUGUUUGGAAGCAGUCACUGGAAGCAACACUAUGUGACUCAGCUUUGGCGAUGGAGUCCAGCUGGGGUCUGACAGGCUAUAAUCUCAUGAUUUCAUGAUGCAGUAAUUCAGAUUUCUUGACACAAAGAGGAAAAACAUUUCUCUCUCUG